CAGCCGUAAACUAUGCGCGUUAGGUGUACUGGUGACCACGAGUCACCGGGGUGCCGAAGGGAAACCGUGAAACGUGCCGCCUGGGAAGUACGGUCGCAAGGCUGAAACUUAAAGGAAUUGGCGGGGGAGCACCACAGCGGGUGGAGCCUGCGGUUUAAUUGGACUCAACGCCGGAAAUCUCACCGGAUAGGACAGACAUAUGAUAGUCGGGCUGAAGACUCUACUUGAUGAUCUGAGAGGAGGUGCAUGGCGUCAGUGACU
rnacentral:rRNA from 1 species